rnacentral:ncRNA from 1 species
ACAAAAGCGAUGAUAAGAAGAAGUAGUAAUUAAAAGAAAGAUAUACAGAAAGUUACCGGUUGAUGAGAGGUGCAUACUUAUUUAAUUAUGAAUACAUCUUUGAGCUUCACACUGAAGAGCUAAGCUUGGUAGGAUGUGACGUAUUCACACGUUAUAGUGACAGAGUAUUCUAAGGAGUACUUGUAGAGGUAAGUAAUGUGAAUUACUUAUAAACUAAGGUGGUAACGCGAGAUAAGCUCUCGUCCUUUUA